UACAGAGGGUGCAAGCGUUAAUCGGAAUUACUGGGCGUAAAGCGUGCGUAGACGGUUAUGUAAGUCGGGUGUGAAAGCCCCAGGCUCAACCUGGGAAGUGCAUCGGAAACUGAAAGGCUAGAGUACGGAAGAGGGUCUCGGAAUUCCCGGUGUAGAGGUGAAAUUCGUAGAUAUCGGGAGGAACACCAGUGGCGAAGGCGGAGACCUGGGCCGAUACUGACGCUGAGGCACGAAAGCGUGGGGAGCAAACAGG
rnacentral:rRNA from 1 species